rnacentral:tRNA from 1 species
AGUUGUAGCUCAGUGGUAGAGCACUUGCCUCAUACGUGUGAGGUACCGGGUUCGAUUCCUAGCACAACUU